rnacentral:rRNA from 1 species
AUGAACGCUAGCUACAGGCUUAACACAUGCAAGUCGAGGGGCAUCAGGGUGUAGCAAUACACCGCUGGCGACCGGCGCACGGGUGAGUAACACGUAUCCAACCUGCCCUUUACUCGGGGAUAGCCUUUCGAAAGAAAGAUUAAUACCCGAUGGCAUAACAUGACCUCCUGGUUUUGUUAUUAAAGAAUUUCGGUAGAGGAUGGGGAUGCGUUCCAUUAGGCAGUUGGCGGGGUAACGGCCCACCAAACCUUCGAUGGAUAGGGGUUCUGAGAGGAAGGUCCCCCACAUUGGAACUGAGACACGGUCCAAACUCCUACGGGAGGCAGCAGUGAGGAAUAUUGGUCAAUGGGCGAGAGCCUGAACCAGCCAAGUAGCGUGAAGGAUGACCGCCCUAUGGGUUGUAAACUUCUUUUAUAUGGGAAUAAAGGGUGCCACGUGUGGCAUUUUGUAUGUACCAUAUGAAUAAGGAUCGGCUAACUCCGUGCCAGCAGCCGCGGUAAUACGGAGGAUCCGAGCGUUAUCCGGAUUUAUUGGGUUUAAAGGGAGCGUAGGUGGAUUGUUAAGUCAGUUGUGAAAGUUUGCGGCUCAACCGUAAAAUUGCAGUUGAAACUGCGUGUCUUGAGUACAGUAGAGGCAGGCGGAAUUCGUGGUGUAGCGGUGAAAUGCUUAGAUAUCACGAAGAACUCCGAUUGCGAAGGCAGCCUGCUGGACUGUAACUGACGCUGAUGCUCGAAAGUGUGGGUAUCAAACAGGAUUAGAUACCCUGGUAGUCCACACAGUAAACGAUGAAUACUCGCUGUUUGCGAUAUACAGUAAGCGGCCAAGCGAAAGCAUUAAGUAUUCCACCUGGGGAGUACGCCGGCAACGGUGAAACUCAAAGGAAUUGACGGGGGCCCGCACAAGCGGAGGAACAUGUGGUUUAAUUCGAUGAUACGCGAGGAACCUUACCCGGGCUUAAAUUGCAAAUGAAUAUGCCGGAAACGGCAUAGCCGCAAGGCAUUUGUGAAGGUGCUGCAUGGUUGUCGUCAGCUCGUGCCGUGAGGUGUCGGCUUAAGUGCCAUAACGAGCGCAACCCUUAUCUUCAGUUACUAACAGGUCAUGCUGAGGACUCUGGAGAGACUGCCGUCGUAAGAUGUGAGGAAGGUGGGGAUGACGUCAAAUCAGCACGGCCCUUACGUCCGGGGCUACACACGUGUUACAAUGGGGGGUACAGAAGGCCGCUACACAGCGAUGUGAUGCCAAUCCCUAAAGCCCCUCUCAGUUCGGAUCGAAGUCUGCAACCCGACUUCGUGAAGCUGGAUUCGCUAGUAAUCGCGCAUCAGCCACGGCGCGGUGAAUACGUUCCCGGGCCUUGUACACACCGCCCGUCAAGCCAUGGGAGCCGGGGGUACCUGAAGUACGUAACCGCAAGGAGCGUCCUAGGGUAAAACUGGUGACUGGGGCU